UACGUAGGGGGCAAGCGUUGUCCGGAUUUAUUGGGCGUAAAGAGCGUGUAGGCGGCUUCACAGGUCCGCUGUGAAAACUCGAGGCUCAACCUCGAGCUGUCGGUGGAAACCGUGUGGCUAGAGUCCGGAAGAGGAGAGUGGAAUUCCCGGUGUAGCGGUGAAAUGCGCAGAUAUCAGGAGGAACACCCGUGGCGAAAGCGGCUCUCUGGGACGGUACUGACGCUGAAGACGCGAAAGCGUGGGGAGCAAACAGG
rnacentral:rRNA from 1 species